CCUACGGGAGGCUGCAGUGGGGAAUAUUGGACAAUGGGCGAAAGCCUGAUCCAGCCAUGCCGCGUGUGUGAAGAAGGCCUUCGGGUUGUAAAGCACUUUCAGUGGGGAAGAAAGCCUUGGGGCUAAUACCCUCGAGGAAGGACAUCACCCACAGAAGAAGCACCGGCUAACUCCGUGCCAGCAGCCGCGGUAAUACGGAGGGUGCGAGCGUUAAUCGGAAUUACUGGGCGUAAAGCGCGCGUAGGCGGUCUGAUAAGCCGGUUGUGAAAGCCCCGGGCUCAACCUGGGAACGGCAUCCGGAACGGUCAGGCUAGAGGGCAGUAGAGGUAGGUAGAAUUCCCGGUGUAGCGGUGAAAUGCGUAGAGAUCGGGAGGAAUACCAGUGGCGAAGGCGGCCUUCUGGACUGACACUGACGCUGAGGUGCGAAAGCGUGGGUAGCAAACAGGAUUAGAUACCCCGGUAGUC
rnacentral:rRNA from 1 species